GACGAACGCUGGCGGCGUGCUUAACACAUGCAAGUCGAACGGAAAGGCCCUGCUUUUGUGGGGUGCUCGAGUGGCGAACGGGUGAGUAACACGUGAGUAACCUGCCCUUGACUUUGGGAUAACUUCAGGAAACUGGGGCUAAUACCGGAUAGGAGCUCCUGCUGCAUGGUGGGGGUUGGAAAGUUUCGGCGGUUGGGGUUGGACUCGCGGCUUAUCAGCUUGUUGGUGGGGUAGUGGCUUACCAAGGCUUUGGCGGGUAGCCGGCCUGAGAGGGUGGCCGGCCACAUUGGGCCUGAGAUACGGCCCAGACUCCAACGGGAGGCAGCAGUGGAAAAUAUUGCACAAUGGGCGGACGCCUGAUGCAGCAACGCCGCGUGCGGGAAGACGGCCUUCGGGUUGUAAACCGCUUUCGCCUGUGACGAAGCGUGAGUGACGGUAAUGGGUAAAGAAGCACCGGCUAACUACGUG
rnacentral:rRNA from 1 species